CCUACGGGUGGCAGCAGUGAGGAAUAUUGGUCAAUGGUCGGGAGCCUGAACCAGCCAAGCCGCGUGAGGGAGGAAGGUGCAGAGUAUCGUAAACCUCUUUUGUCAGGGAACAAAAGCGGGGACGUGUCCCCGGAUGAGUGUACCUGAAGAAAAAGCAUCGGCUAACUCCGUGCCAGCAGCCGCGGUAAUACGGGGGAUGCGAGCGUUAUCCGGAUUUAUUGGGGUUAAAGGGUGCGCAGGCGGUCUGUUAAGUCAGCGGUAAAAGCACGGGGCUCAACCCCGGCCCGCCGUUGAAACUGGCAGUCUCGAGUGGGAGAGAGGUAGGCGGAAUGCGCGGUGUAGCGGUGAAAUGCAUAGAUAUCGCGCAGAACGCCGAUUGCGAAGGCAGCAUGCCGGCGCCACACUGACGCUGAGGCACGAAAGCGUGGGGAGCGAACAGGAUUAGAUACCCGUGUAGUC
rnacentral:rRNA from 1 species